AACGAACGCUGGCGGCAUGCCUAACACAUGCAAGUCGAACGAGACCUUCGGGUCUGGUGGCGCACGGGUGCGUAACGCGUGGGAACCUGCCCUUAGGCUCGGAAUAACUCCCCGAAAGGGGUGCUAAUACCGGAUAAUGUCUUCGGACCAAAGAUUUAUCGCCUUUGGAUGGGCCCGCGUGGGAUUAGCUAGUUGGUAGGGUAAAAGCCUACCAAGGCGACGAUCCAUAGCGGGUCUGAGAGGAUGAUCAGCCACACUGGGCCUGAGACACGGCCCAGACUCCUACGGGAAGCAGCAGUGGGGAAUAUAGGACAAUGGGCUAAGGCCUGAUCCAGCUAUGCCGCGUGAGUGCUGAAGGCCUUAGGGUUGUAAAGCUCUUUUACCCGGGAUGAUAAUGACAGUACCGGGAGAAUAAGCUCCGGCUAACUCCGUG
rnacentral:rRNA from 1 species